GAUGAAGAACGUAGCGAAAUGCGAUAAGUAAUGCGAAUUGCAGAAUUCAGUGAAUCAUCGAAUCUUUGAACGCACAUUGCGCCCCCUGGCAUUCCGGGGGGCAUGCCUGUUCGAGCGUCAUUACAACCCUCAAGCUCUGCUUGGUAUUGGGCUCUGCUGGGACCGGCAGGCCUUAAAAUCAGUGGCGGCGCCACUCGGCUUCAAGCGUAGUAAUUCUUCUCGCUUCGGAGACCCGGGUGCGUGCUAGCCAGCAACCCCCAACUUUCUUAGGUUGACCUCGGAUCAGGUAGGGAUACCCGCUGAACUUAAGCAUAUCAAUAAGCGGAGGA
rnacentral:misc_RNA from 1 species